UACGUAGGGUGCAAGCGUUAAUCGGAAUUACUGGGCGUAAAGCGCGCGUAGGCGGCUUUGCAAGUCGGGUGUGAAAUCCCCAGGCUUAACCUGGGAACUGCAUUCGAGACUGCAUUGCUAGAGUAUGGGAGAGGGAAGUGGAAUUUCCGGUGUAGCGGUGAAAUGCGUAGAUAUCGGAAGGAACAUCAGUGGCGAAAGCGACUUCCUGGACCAAUACUGACGCUCAUGUGCGAAAGCGUGGGAGCAAACAGG
rnacentral:rRNA from 1 species